CUUGCAGGAAGCAUUAAAAGAAACCGCGAGGGCAAUGACUGAUAAAAACUAUGAAAAAAUAUUAACAAAUUCUCUAUAGCUUGUUCCAACUUCUAAAACCAAUGAAUAUUCUCUGCUGGCUGUUAUAAAGGUCUCCGGCCACGAAGCUGAGUAAAAUAUUACUGCAACAUGUUCAUUGGGCAUUUUAGGAACAGUAAAUCAGAGCGUACUCCAACAACAGCCCAAGCCAUCACCUUCAAUUCAAAAUCAAACUCCACAUCCCCUGUAUCUCAACAAAACCUAAACUACAGCCACAAAUCCAUUCCAUUAAAUCACUUCUUUCCUCCAUCCCUGCAUCAAUAAGACCAACAGCUUCUUCAUGUUCUUUCCCCUAAUUUCCUAAAUAUUGAAAUCACUUCAAAUCCCUAAUCCUUAAUUCAAUUAACCUGAAUUCAAACACCACCAUCCAAAACGUCUUCUUUAUCUGAAAUUACUCAACUCAUGAACCCUAAAUACACAACCCCCUUCAUCUCGGUUUUUCUUUUUAUCAUUCUUUUGGUGAAACUGCAUGUUUUGGGGUUUUAAUGAUUUUAGGAUUUUUGAUGUUGUUUUCCAUCUAUACAUCAAAAAGGGGUUCACUGUCAAGAGAAGAGCUGGUGGAAAUAAAUAAACUAAUUAACCCUCUCCCUCUCUCUGAUUCUUCAUUUUUUAUCAUGAUUUUAGUCAUUCUAGACUUUGAUUUCAUGUUUUGAGUUUCUGGGUCCAACCAUUCUUUUUCCCAAGAAGCUGCUGGCAAUAUUGCUCAUCAUCUUGAGAUGGUCCAUUUUAAUUUUGCAGAAACUAUAGUGCAAUGUCUCUCUUACAGAGGGUAUGCAUGAUUCCAUGUUUCCAGGGACGGGCCUAGCAAGGGGCUAACCAGGGCUGUAACCCGUCCUUAGAUUUGCUAAAUAAUCUCUUUAGUAUACAUAUUUACUUUAUUUUUGUGUUAGCCCGUACUCAAAAAUUUGAAGCACUAACAAUUUUUGACAGUGCUCAGUCACUGUUUGAUAAAAUGGCUUAAAGAAUUGCAAAGCCUUUACAUUGAAUAUGUACUGGUGAGGUUUUGUUGAUAAUAAUUGCUUUAUUUACUAAGACUCUUAGAGUCUUUAGAUGAAUCGACCGAAGUAUGGCAGCUGUUGUACAUAUGUUUGCAUAUAGUAACAUUUUAAAAUGUCUGGUUUCCGAUAGAUUUUUGUUGUCUACUUUGUUGAUUUGGUGCGGGAGUUUUUUCUUUCUGGAUAUCGUGUUGUUGUUGCUUCCGCAGGUGCCAAUUCAAUAUCGAUACCAUUUUUCUUAAAGUUUAUAAAUAAAUUCGUAUUCGAUCACUGUGCUAUUUAUUUAAUGGGUGUUGCAGCAUUGCAGCAUCAGGUUAACAAGUAUAAAUUGCCCUUUUCAGCUGGUCAUUGAACGUGUUUGGAAGGGAACUGUCUUCGGUGGAUUCAAGAGUCAUCCCCAAGUACCAUAUUUUGUUGAAAAUUACAUGAAGAAGGAAAUCAAGGUUGAUGCAUGAUUAUAUAACUCUCAGUCCGACCUUUGGUAAGAUCAGCUAUGAAUCCACUGUUUGCCGCGAAUAACUGAUGGCGACUUAAGGGGUGGCAAAAGUUAAAAACAUGGUAUAAGCUUACGGAUGGGGUCAAAGUACCAGUGGAGCAAGGUCGGUAUGGACUGCUUUUCGGAUCAUCUUUACAGGCUUGGCUACGGCUUCCGGUGGAGGCUAUCUAGUUUGCAAAUAUAAAUUAUGAGGAAGUUGAUUUUGCUUUAUAUCAUUUUCUACUGAUUUAGAAGUUUUUUGCAUGCUUCAGUUUGCCAUAGCUCUUCCGUUAGGACAAAAUAGUACUGAAUGUGCUUUUGUCAGUUAGAGUGAAGCUCUUCACUGUCUUGAUGUGGGAGACUGUGAGUCUAAAUCCUAUAAAGUAACUCGUGACACAAAAAGCUUCAUGUUCCGCCAUUAUAAUGAUUCUUCUACUGAUGAUUUUUUUGUAGUGUUCUGCAUAAUAAAAAAAGUAACUGAAGCUAUUCAGAAAGGUGCUGCUGCCUAUGACUGCAAGAUCGUUGAAGGGUUGCAAAAUUAUCAGUCACUGUGAUUGUGAAUUAUUUCUUAUGGUUGCUGCGGCAUUGGUGUUACCGUAUACCAGACGAUUGGAAGUUGCUUCAUUUAGACAGGUACCAUGGCUACUGCUUAUACCUGCAAUAGCGAUUGGUAGAGUUGAAUACCUUUUUCUUGACCAUGAGAGUUUAAAGUUCUACUCCCUCCGUACCACAUAUAUAGGCGGUGAGAGACUAUUCUCUUAGAUUAAGAAAAUUACUUGGAAUUCAUAAUUUUACAUGUUUUUUCUUGUCUUGCCGUUUGUCUUAUUCUCAAUACAAUUACCUAUGUAUCAUAAAUAAGGGUAUAUGUAGGAAAAAUUUAUCUUGAAAAUAGGAUUCCGCCUAUUUAAUGGUACAAGCAAAAUCCAAAAUUCCGCCUAUAUAAUAGGUACAGAGGGAGUAUGUUUUGUGACCAAGGAAGCUGGUUUCCCGAUCAGAAACACUGAGAAUCCUUAUAAUUGAUUUAGUUUUUGCUUUAGUUGUAGCACUUCUCUUUAGGACAUGAAUCCUUUCUUGUAUGAUUUUGAACUAAAUUUACAACUUUAAAAUAAUGGAAUUUUCAUUUUAUAUGAAAA